rnacentral:rRNA from 1 species
GCCUGCGCGGAAGAUGUAACGGGGCUAAACCAUGCACCGAAGCUGCGGCAGCGACACUGUGUGUUGUUGGGUAGGGGAGCGUUCUGUAAGCCUGUGAAGGUGUGCUGUGAGGCAUGCUGGAGGUAUCAGAAGUGCGAAUGCUGACAUAAGUAACGAUAAAGCGGGUGAAAAGCCCGCUCGCCGGAAGACCAAGGGUUCCUGUCCAACGUUAAUCGGGGCAGGGUGAGUCGACCCCUAAGGCGAGGCCGAAAGGCGUAGUCGAUGGGAAACAGGUUAAUAUUCCUGUACUUGGUGUUACUGCGAAGGGGGGACGGAGAAGGCUAUGUUGGCCGGGCGACGGUUGUCCCGGUUUAAGCGUGUAGGCUGGUUUUCCAGGCAAAUCCGGAAAAUCAAGGCUGAGGCGUGAUGACGAGGCACUACGGUGCUGAAGCAACAAAUGCCCUGCUUCCAGGAAAAGCCUCUAAGCAUCAGGUAACAUCAAAUCGUACCCCAAACCGACACAGGUGGUCAGGUAGAGAAUACCAAGGCGCUUGAGAGAACUCGGGUGAAGGAACUAGGCAAAAUGGUGCCGUAACUUCGGGAGAAGGCACGCUGAUAUGUAGGUGAAGUCCCUCGCGGAUGGAGCUGAAAUCAGUCGAAGAUACCAGCUGGCUGCAACUGUUUAUUAAAAACACAGCACUGUGCAAACACGAAAGUGGACGUAUACGGUGUGACGCCUGCCCGGUGCCGGAAGGUUAAUUGAUGGGGUCAGCGCAAGCGAAGCUCUUGAUCGAAGCCCCGGUAAACGGCGGCCGUAACUAUAACGGUCCUAAGGUAGCGAAAUUCCUUGUCGGGUAAGUUCCGACCUGCACGAAUGGCGUAAUGAUGGCCAGGCUGUCUCCACCCGAGACUCAGUGAAAUUGAACUCGCUGUGAAGAUGCAGUGUACCCGCGGCAAGACGGAAAGACCCCGUGAACCUUUACUAUAGCUUGACACUGAACAUUGAGCCUUGAUGUGUAGGAUAGGUGGGAGGCUUUGAAGUGUGGACGCCAGUCUGCAUGGAGCCGACCUUGAAAUACCACCCUUUAAUGUUUGAUGUUCUAACGUGGACCCGUGAUCCGGGUUGCGGACAGUGUCUGGUGGGUAGUUUGACUGGGGCGGUCUCCUCCUAAAGAGUAACGGAGGAGCACGAAGGUUGGCUAAUCCUGGUCGGACAUCAGGAGGUUAGUGCAAUGGCAUAAGCCAGCUUGACUGCGAGCGUGACGGCGCGAGCAGGUGCGAAAGCAGGUCAUAGUGAUCCGGUGGUUCUGAAUGGAAGGGCCAUCGCUCAACGGAUAAAAGGUACUCCGGGGAUAACAGGCUGAUACCGCCCAAGAGUUCAUAUCGACGGCGGUGUUUGGCACCUCGAUGUCGGCUCAUCACAUCCUGGGGCUGAAGUAGGUCCCAAGGGUAUGGCUGUUCGCCAUUUAAAGUGGUACGCGAGCUGGGUUUAGAACGUCGUGAGACAGUUCGGUCCCUAUCUGCCGUGGGCGCUGGAGAACUGAGGGGGGCUGCUCCUAGUACGAGAGGACCGGAGUGGACGCAUCACUGGUGUUCGGGUUGUCAUGCCAAUGGCACUGCCCGGUAGCUAAAUGCGGAAGAGAUAAGUGCUGAAAGCAUCUAAGCACGAAACUUGCCCCGAGAUGAGUUCUCCCUGACCCUUUAAGGGUCCUGAAGGAACGUUGAAGACGACGACGUUGAUAGGCCGGGUGUGUAAGCGCAGCGAUGCGUUGAGCUAACCGGUACUAAUGAACCGUGAGGCUUAACCUUACAACGCCGAAGGUGUUU